rnacentral:rRNA from 1 species
UGGGAAUAUUGCACAAUGGGCGAAAGCCUGAUGCAGCAACGCCGCGUGAGUGAUGAAGGCCUUCGGGUUGUAAAGCUCUGUCUUUUGGGACGAUAAUGACGGUACCAAAGGAGGAAGCCACGGCUAACUACGUGCCAGCAGCCGCGGUAAUACGUAGGUGGCAAGCGUUGUCCGGAUUUACGGGCGUAAAGGAUGCGUAGGCGGAUUUUUAAGUGAGAUGUGAAAUACCCGGGCUUAACUUGGGUGCUGCAUUUCAAACUGGGAAUCUAGAGUGCGGGAGAGGAGAAUGGAAUUCCUAGUGUAGCGGUGAAAUGCGUAGAGAUUAGGAAGAACACCAGUGGCGAAGGCGAUUCUCUGGACCGUAACUGACGCUGAGGCAUGAAAGCGUGGGUAGCAAACAGGAUUAGAUACCCUGGUAGUCCACGCCGUAAACGAUGAGUACUAGGUGUAGGAGGUAUCGACCCCUUCUGUGCCGCAGUUAACACAAUAAGUACUCCGCCUGGGAAGUACGAUCGCAAGAUUAAAACUUAAAUGAAUUGAC